rnacentral:rRNA from 1 species
GAUGAACGCUAGCGAUAGGCUUAACACAUGCAAGUCGAGGGGCAGCAUGGUCUUAGCUUGCUAAGACUGAUGGCGACCGGCGCACGGGUGCGUAACGCGUAUGCAACUUGCCUCACAGAGGGGGAUAACCCGUCGAAAGACGGACUAAUACCGCGUACGCUCCAGCUUGGGCAUCCAGGCUAGAGGAAAUGAACUUCGCUGUGAGAUAGGCAUGCGUCCCAUUAGCUAGUUGGUGAGGUAACGGCUCACCAAGGCGACGAUGGGUAGGGGAACUGAGAGGUUGAACCCCCACACUGGUACUGAGACACGGACCAGACUCCUACGGGAGGCAGCAGUGAGGAAUAUUGGUCAAUGGGCGAGAGCCUGAACCAGCCAAGUCGCGUGAAGGAUGACUGUCUUAUGGAUUGUAAACUUCUUUUGUAGGGGAAUAAAGAACGGCACGUGUGCCGUAGUGAAUGUACCCUACGAAUAAGCAUCGGCUAACUCCGUGCCAGCAGCCGCGGUAAUACGGAGGAUGCGAGCGUUAUCCGGAUUUAUUGGGUUUAAAGGGUGCGUAGGCGGCCUGUUAAGUCAGCGGUGAAAUCUAGGAGCUUAACUCCUAAAUUGCCAUUGAUACUGGCGGGCUUGAGCGUAGAUGAGGUAGGCGGAAUGCGUGGUGUAGCGGUGGAAUGCAUAGAUAUCACGCAGAACUCCGAUUGCGAAGGCAGCUUACUAAGGUACAACUGACGCUGAAGCACGAAAGCGUGGGUAUCAACAGG